CCCACAUUCUCACCAAAAAGGAUUCGAACCAACGAAACACUGGGCCGCCUGCAGCAGAGCACACGAACUUAACCGCUCAGCCACAAGGCCAGCCCCAUGAGUCACAGUUUUUUGUGCUGGUGCCCACCUCCUCUCCAACUCCUGAAAUUCUCCAAGCCUGGAGCAGUGUGGAACCCAGGGCCCUCCACCAGGGAUGCCUCGCAGCCGGGCCAGUGCGCUCAGCAGCCUCCCUCCCUCAGGCCCUCACAUCCCCCUGGAAUCCGGGCCCCUGCGUGUCUUGUUUUCCACUGUGUCCACAGAGCCAGGCCCUGGGUGAUGCAUGAAUGUCAACUGAGGAAGAGACUGAGGCUCGAAGCGCGUCCGCGACCUGCAUGAGGCCACGUGACCGCCCCUUAGGGGUGAACACAGGAAGGCACCUCUGGACCAGCGUCCCCACCCUUCAUGGAGGAGGUGUCCCGGGUGGGCGAGGAGCAGCGCCCCCGCGCUCACUUCCCCCGCAGUAAGGCCACCUUGUAUCUGCUUUCCAGACGAGUUUUAGACACCACAGCUUCCUCUGGAUCUAGAACAUUCCCAUGAAAAGCCAGCCAUCCAGCCAGUGCUACAUUAUGCCUCUUAGGAAGCCGGUCCUUCCUUCCUACUGAAUACUCGGGCCCUGGAAACAUGGUUGCAGUUAAAGCUGUUACAAGACUACCCGGACUAACGAAUGCACAGGCCUGAACCCCGGCCGAAGGAGGGAGUUCAUCUGUGAUCCUUUUCAUCCUUGGUUUUUCUUGUGCUCUGCACCCCCACGGCCUGAGAGCACUCAGUGUCCUCUUACUGACCCCGGGUGCUGAGAUCCCUCCAGCGUCACCUGGACACACAGCAUCCCAGGUGCGCGAUCUCUCCACCCCACUUUCCCUCAUUAAACUCGUGCACAGCGGCCCCGUCUCAUCAGGCCCUUGCUGGAUAAAAAUGGAUCGGAGUUGGGAGGAAAAGAUAUCAAGUUUCCAAAUAUGUCAAGGCUGGGAGCUAUCACGGGAUUUAAAAAUACAAAUAAUGAUGAACACCUGCCCCAAAGCUGCCUGCGGCCUCACCCCUCUGGACAUUGUCAUACCAUCCCAUACGCUUUUGGGGCUAAUGAAGGCCUUUCUCACAAUGGAGUUACACACCAUAUACACUCGGUGGCUUCAGAAUGGUAAGAACCAAGUCACGAUGCUACAUUAUUGACACUGGACUAAGAGGGCCUGAAAAAGUGUGGCUUUGCCAACCAGCUCAGGAUUUCCCCCCCGGCCUUACUGAGAUACUAUAACACUGGGCAAGUUUAAGGUAUACAGCGUGAUGGCUCAGUCCACAUGGUAUAUAUCGUGAAAUGAUUACCACAAUAGGGUUGGUUAACACCUCCAUCACCUCACAUAUUUACUUUUGUGUGUGUGGAGUUAACAUUUAAGAUCUACUCUUUUAGCAACUUUCAAGUAUACAAUGCAGUAUUGUAAAUUACUGUCACCGUGCUGUGCAUUAGAUCCCCAGAACUUAAUCAUCUCACAGCUGGAAGCUUUUACCCUUAACCAGCAUCUCCCCGUUUCCCCCACCCCCAGCCUGGGAACCGCCAUUCUGCUGUUUCCCAGCUUGGCUUUUUAGAUUCCACAUGGAAGAGGACCACACCGUGGUUGUCCUUCUCUGACUUACCUCCCUUAGGCCAGCUGCGUUUUGAGUUGCUUUGCUGCCCCUGGCCAGGAGGAGCGUCCUGUCUCUGCCCGCGUGGAGCCCUCCUGGGGGAGCUUCUCAAGCUGUUCUUCUUUCACAGUCAACCGUCCUUGGAGCCCAUGGCGGAGGAGGGAGGGGCCUUUUGCUGACCGCUGUGGAAACGCACCCCUCAGCUCUCUCCCUGCAGGAAGCUCAGCUGACAGAGCCCCCGCUGCUCCCCUCUCUGCAUCCACCACUCUGCUGGUGCUGGGGUCACUUUUCCCACGAGCUGCCCCGGCCAAUGGCAGCAUGGAGCGCUCACUCAGACCCUUUCCCGAGAGACGCGCAGCUCCUGUCCUUCAAGACCACCCAUUGGCCUG
ensembl:lncRNA